UCUCUGGUGGCUCAGACGGUAAAGUGUCUGCCUACAAUGCAGGAGACCCAGGUUCAAUCCCUGGGUCGGGAA
rnacentral:tRNA from 1 species